rnacentral:rRNA from 1 species
CCUACGGGAGGCAGCAGUGGGGGAUAUUGCACAAUGGGGGGAACCCUGAUGCAGCGACGCCGCGUGGGUGAAGAAGCGCCUCGGCGCGUAAAGCCCUGUCAGCAGGGGAGCAAAUGACGGUACCUGAAGCAGAAGCCCCGGCUAACUACGUGCCAGCAGCCGCGGUAAUACGUAGGGGGCAAGCGUUAUCCGGAGUUACUGGGUGUAGAGGGGGCGCAGACGGCGAUGCAAGCCAGGAGUGAAAGCCCGGGGCCCAACCCCGGGACUGCUCUUGGAACUGCGUGGCUGGAGUGCAGGAGGGGCAGGCGGAAUGCCUGGUGUAGCGGUGAAAUGCGUAGAUAUCAGGAGGAACACCGGUGGCGAAGGCGGCCUGCUGGACUGCAACUGACGUUGAGGCCCGAAAGCGUGGGGAGCAAACAGGAUUAGAUACCCCUGUAGUC